GUCGUUAUGUGGAGGAGUUUCGGUUUGUUACGAGGGAUAGUUUUGUUAUUUCCUUAAUUAUUUGCAUCGUUUUGUAUACGGAUUCCGAAUAAUUUGGAAUUCGAAUUCUAAUCGUGUCUGGUUGUAGCUCUUUGAGCAGGGUAUAAAUAUAGACCCUAGGGCCUUGUAGAAAAAAUCAAGAAAUCAAUCAAAUACACGUUUUUACUCAUAUUCCAGCAUCUACUUUUCGACGACUUCGUCAUACUUUUUUUUUCUUUUUAUUACGAGUUCUUAGGAAUUCGUCGACUUAAGCUCGGCGUGUUCUCAAGUUCCGCGUGAGUACCUCUUAGCCGUGACAUCCGGGAGCAUCGCUGUUGUCAGGACUAAAGUAUUCGAGUUAUCACCAUUGCCGAUAGUAAGGUCAAAUCGGCUGGCACGCCUUAAUGUUUGAAUCGGGUAUUAGCCCUUUGUGUUUGCAGAUCAGUUUUGCAUCAACACAUCUUUUGGCAUGCCCAGUGGGACCGAUUCAAGAUCAAGAUCAACAUGUCGAUCUCUGACCUCGAUCAAGAGAACGUCAUCCCUGUGACGGAGGCCAACCUCAAGGAUGAGCAGAAGCAAGCUAUUGCCCAAGCCAUGGAAGAAUUCAAGCAGCAAUGCCUGAGGUCUUUCAGCAUAAA
rnacentral:lncRNA from 1 species